rnacentral:RNase_P_RNA from 1 species
GAAGUUCGCUAGGCAGCCGCUGUGAGCACAAGUUCAUGGAGGAAAGUCCGGGCCCCAUAGAGCAGGAUGCCGGCUAACGGCCGGGCGCAGCAAGCCUCGCAAGAGGCCCAAGGCGACGAACAGGGCAACAGAAAACAUACCGCCGAUGGCUCCGCAAGGAGAUCAGGUAAGGGCGAACCGGUGGGGUAAGAGCCCACCGCGGACGUGGCGACACGGACGGCACGGUAACCUCCAUCCGGGGCAAGGCCAAAUAGGGGGGCGAUAGCGUUGCUCGCGCUGCUCCCGGGUAGGCUGCUAGAGCCUGCCGGUAACGGCAGGCCCAGAGGAAUGGCUGCCCACGACAGAACCCGGCUUAUCGGCGAACUUCCCAC